CCUUUCUCGUACGUAAUCGACUCCCGAAUCUAUUUUCUCAAAAUUUCGCAGACAAAAUUCAUUUUUAACGGUGAACUGAUCACACCUUAAUAAAAGAUCGGUGGCGACUCCCAACUCCAUUUUUAAAAGUCAAUCCCCGUUUUUUUCAAAUCAAAUAAAAAAUAGUUUCGACAACAGACUUCAGCUUGUCCAUUUGUCUGAGGGUGGUAUGUUGUGAAAAUCUUAUGCUUUACCCCAUAUCUCAUCAAGGCAAUAGCAACUAAUUUGCAACCAAAAUAUCUAAAAAACACCCAAUGAAAAACAUGUAAGGAAACGUGUACAUAUGAAAUUAAAAAGACAAACUUGUUUUAAAGUUGAAAACCAAAAAUUUGACUAAAAUACAAGUAGAGAAGCAUAGAUAUGAAACUAAAAAAGACAUGAGAAGGCAAAGACAAAGUUGAACUCAAGAUUCAUAACUGAAAUAAUUCGCUGAUGAAGAAGAGGAUUUCAUAUUUUUACAGAUCAAAUAAGAAAAAUAAAAAUCUGCAGUUCAUGCUUUGAAGAAAAACAACUAUCUUAACCAAGUUUGAAGGAAAUAAGUAUUCAUAGUGCAUGGCUGUACAAUUUAUUUUAGACCUCCAAAUCACCUUUUCCCCUAAGAAAGUUCUCAUGAUUCCAAUAAAAAAAAUACCCCAAAGAGAAAGACGAAAAAUACCCAUACGACAAAACAUCUCAAAAAACUAAUUGAGGCAAACUACUACAAAAACAAUAAUUAUUAUGAAGGAACAAAAGGGGCAAACCUGGAAGUAGGGAGGGAAGGAAAGUUGUAAAAAGGGGUUAAAAGCAAGGAUAUAUCCCACAUCAAGUUGAAAAGGGUUCUGGUUCUCUGUCACCAUCUUCAGUUAGUGUUGGUAUGUGGUGUUUGCUGCUAAGCUAGGCAGAGAAGCGGGUGGGAGUGUUUUUUUUGGCCCGCGGUUAACCAAAUUUAAAAAAGAAUGAGGAAAAAUUAAAAAGAGGGGGGGGGGAGAAUCAACUGGAGAGUUGCGGAAUGAAGAGAGAGAUAUCAUGAUUUGAGUAUAUAAAAUUAGAUUGAUGGCAACGUUAACAUUUAUGGUAAUUAAAACCUUUUUUAAAUCACUAAUAUUUUUUU
rnacentral:lncRNA from 1 species